rnacentral:rRNA from 1 species
UACGGGGGGGGCAAGCGUUGUUCGGAAUUACUGGGCGUAAAGGGCUCGUAGGCGGCCAACUAAGUCAGACGUGAAAUCCCUCGGCUUAACCGGGGAACUGCAUCUGAUACUGGAUGGCUUGAGAUUGGGAGAGGGAUGCGGAAUUCCAGGUGUAGCGGUGAAAUGCGUAGAUAUCUGGAGGAACACCGGUGGCGAAGGCGGCAUCCUGGACAAUUGCUGACGCUCAGGCACGAAAGCGUGGGGAGCAAAAGGG